rnacentral:rRNA from 1 species
GAUGAACGCUGGCGGCGUGCCUAAUACAUGCAAGUCGAGCGAACAGACGAGGAGCUUGCUCCUCUGACGUUAGCGGCGGACGGGUGAGUAACACGUGGAUAACCUACCUAUAAGACUGGGAUAACUUCGGGAAACCGGAGCUAAUACCGGAUAAUAUAUUGAACCGCAUGGUUCAAUAGUGAAAGACGGUUUUGCUGUCACUUAUACAUGGAUCCGCGCCGCAUUAGCUAGUUGGUAAGGUAACGGCUUACCAAGGCAACGAUGCGUAGCCGACCUGAGAGGGUGAUCAGCCACACUGGAACUGAGACACGGUCCAGACUCCUACGGGAGGCAGCAGUAGGGAAUCUUCCGCAAUGGGCGAAAGCCUGACGGAGCAACGCCGCGUGAGUGAUGAAGGUCUUCGGAUCGUAAAACUCUGUUAUUAGGGAAGAACAAAUGUGUAAGUAACUAUGCACGUCUUGACGGUACCUAAUCAGAAAGCCACGGCUAACUACGUG